UCAUCUUUAGAUUUUAGCCUUCUUUAUAUACUAAACAAGAAACACUGGAAAAGGUAAAUAACAUGUCUAGGUAAAAUUUUAAAUAAGAUGUAAAAAGAAAAACUUUCUUUUUGAGCAUGAAAGUAAUUUAACACUGAAGAACACUUGGAGAAUGCAGUAUAUAAAGGAGACAAUUGAUGUCAUGUAUUCCCUUACCACACAAAGAUAAUGAUUAAUGCUUUGGUACAUACCCAGAGUUUUUUCCAUAUGUACAUACAGCAAAUCAGGCAACCACCAAUACCAGUCCAAGAUGGUAGGCAGACUCUCCCCAGUAGAGAUCUAGGUAUUCUGGAAAAUGUAGAAAUGCUCAUCUUUCAAGAUUUCUGCCAACAUGCAGGGACUAAGAAGGAAGAGAAAACGAAGAUGGUAGGUAGAGAGUUGACACAACUUAGCUUGUGUACCAAGUUACAGACUGAAUGCCAGAUCUGCUUUCCAAUGAAGAAGACAAAGGAGGCAGGAGGUAUGUAAGUGUGGGAAUAUUGACCUGUUUCUAGGUACUAGAAGAAUGGUGGAAUUAUGACCAGUGUAUGCUUUUUCCUGCUCGGGCCAUCUCAGGAGAUGAAGCUGACGUCCUCUUCGGGUGGAGUUCACUAAAGGUGCCAUCUUUGGGUUUUAGAAGACAGCCACAGGGGAAAUCAAGACAUGGGAGUAACAUUGUACAGAUGGAAAACUAAUCCAUUUGGAGCUGGGGAGAUGGCUCAGAGGUUAACAGCAUUGGCUUCUCUCCCAGAGAACUCCAGGUUUGAUUCCUAGCACUCAUGUGGUGACUCACAACCAUCUUAACUUCAUCCCGAGGAAUCUAAUACCCUCUUGUAGCCUCUGCAGGCACUAGGCAUGCACAUGUGGCAGGACAUACAUGCAGGAGAAAUACCUACACACAUGAAAUAAAAUGAAAGUCAAAAAAGAAAAUGAAUCAAUAUUUCUAGUUAUUCUGCACAUUUUCUGGAAAAAGAACUUUUGAAAUAACUUUAUUUUUCAGCCAAAGCUACUGGCAAGCUUAGGCAAAUGUUCCAAAUAUGAUAGUAGACAUGGGCUUGCAGAGUCUAUUAUGUGUCUUACUACUCUUAAUGGCAGUGGCAGGAAAUUGCACUGUGUUAUGAAAACUACAGAUAUUUGAAGAAUGUGUAUCUUUGUUGCCUUUACAAUGCCUUAACAGUGUUUAGCUUUCAAUGUGAUUUUUUUUCUUCUAGAAAAUUUUAACAAGUUGCAAGCUACACAUCAGUGGAGUGCUUAGUCCAGUCAUGGGUGUUGGAUAAAUAUUCAAAACCACCAACGGUUGUUAGAAUUUCCUCCAUCUGCUUCAGAAAAGGUUUCUUCAGCAGUGCUAUGAAUUAAGAGUAGCUCCGGGCCACAAGAAAGAGACACAUAGAAAUGUUGCCCACAAGCCAAUCCCACACAGUCUAGCUGCAAUUUGAGAAGAAUUUGGAAAUAAGGAGAUAAGUAUUCUUGUAGUCAAACGAAGGGCAGAAGUCAGUCUCUCCUGUGAUCUACAGUCUGGAUCUCAUAUCUGUGGAGUCUCACUAUGUUGCCCUGAUCAGUUCCAAAAUCCAAUCCCUCCCACCAAACUCCCCAAUAUCUUCUUAUUAAAAUUUCUCAUUCUAAAUAGA